rnacentral:rRNA from 1 species
GUGGACGCCAGUCUGCACGGAGCCAUCCUUGAAAUACCACCCUUUAACGUUUGAUGUUCUAACCCGGGUCCAUAAUCUGGAUCGGGGACCGUGUCUGGUGGGUAGUUUGACUGGGGCGGUCUCCUCCCAAAGAGUAACGGAGGAGCACGAAGGUUGGCUAAGCAUGGUCGGACAUCAUGCGGUUAGUGCAAAGGCAUAAGCCAGCUUGACUGCGAGAGUGACGGCUCGAGCAGGUACGAAAGUAGGUCUUAGUGAUCCGGUGGUUCUGAAUGGAAGGGCCAUCGCUCAACGGAUAAAAGGUACUCCGGGGAUAACAGGCUGAUACCGCCCAAGAGUUCAUAUCGACGGCGGUGUUUGGCACCUCGAUGUCGGCUCAUCACAUCCUGGGGCUGAAGUAGGUCCCAAGGGUAUGGCUGUUCGCCAUUUAAAGUGGUACGCGAGCUGGGUUUAGAUCGUCGUGAGACAGUUCGGUCCCUAUCUGCCGUGGGCGCUGGAAGAUUGAGAGGGGUUGCUCCUAGUACGAGAGGACCGGAGUGAACGCACCACUGGUGUACGGGUUGUGAUGCCAAUUGCAUUGCCCGGUAGCUAAGUGCGGAAGAGAUAACCGCUGAAAGCAUCUAAGCGGGAAACUUGCCUCGAGAUGAGUCUCCCCUGACCCUUUAAGGGUCCUGAAGGAACGUUUGAGACUAAGACGUUGAUAGGCUGGGUGUGUAAGCGCAGCGAUGCGUUGAGCUGACCAGUACUAAUGAACCGUGAGGCUUAACCUGACAACACCGAAGGUGUUU